rnacentral:rRNA from 1 species
UCGGAAUUACUGGGCGUAAAGCGCAUGCAGGUGGUUUGUUAAGUCAGAUGUGAAAGACCCGGGGCGUCAACCUCCGGAAUAGCAUUUGUAAACUAGGCAGACUAGAGUACUGUAGAGGGGGGUAGGAAUUUCAGGUGUAGCGGUGAAAUAGCGUAGAGAUCUGAAGGAAUACCGGUGGCGAAGGCGGCCCCCUCGGACAGAUACUGACACUCAGAUGCGAAAGCGUGGGGAGCAAACAGGAUUAGAUACCCUGGUAG